UCUUCUUUCUUCGUCUCCCCGUUUCAAUUCCAACGACACAAAAUCAAAUGUCCUAAAUUUAUUUAAUCUAGGGUUUCCUUUCGGAAGGUGCAGACCUUUCCUCCCACUCCCACUCCCAUAAUCUAGGGUUUCAUCUAUCUGACCCUUCUUUCUGCCCCCUCGUGCGCUUCAAUAAUUUUGGGUUUCCAAUUCGUUCAUUAGCUUUUGGUUUUUUCGUGGUCGUGUUUUUCGUGUGUUUUGGUGGUUGCGAUUGAAUCAGAUUUUUGGGUUUUUAGGUUUUUGAGGGGUUUUAGGAAUGGCUACGGCAGGUGAAGAAGGGCUUGACUACGAGAGUGAUCCCGAAGAGGCCACGAGAUCGCUCGCAAUGCGGAGAAGGCGCGAGGCCAGUGAUGAUGAGGAAGGCGAAGCUGACACCGACGCGAAAAACGCCGCAGUCGAUCGCCGGAUAACCCAUUCCGAUGAUUCCGACGGUGAGGGUGGCGUUGCAGAUUAUGACGACGAAGAAGAAUUGGAAGAAGAGGAAGAAGAAGAAGAGGAAGAAGAGUUGUUGGAAGAGGAAGAGGAUGAGGGUAGGGUUGGAGAGGAAGGAGGUUUGAAUGGAACAAUAGUUAAAGACUCCCAUGCUGAUGUUAAAGGCCCUUUGGAGGAAUCUGGGAAUGGAGAUGAUGAAGAGAAAAAGGAGAAUGAGCCGUUUGCGGUGCCCACUACUGGAGCAUUUUAUAUGCACGAUGAUCGCUUCAGGGAUAAUGCCGGUGCACGCCACAGGCGCAUGCGUGGUGGAAGGAGACUCUGGGAGUCCAAGGAUGACAGGAAAUGGGGACAUGAUAAGUUUGAGGAAAUUUCUCUGCAAGAAAGGCAAUACAAAGAGGGAAGGAGACCUUCUAAGGGUAGUUAUCGAGGUCGUGGAGGUAAAACACGAGGUGUUGAUCGCAGUGGAGGAUAUAUCCGAGGUAACAGAAAAGGGUAUGAUAACAGAGGCAAUCAAACACAGGCACCCAAGAGUGUUGUGCGAGGGAGAGGACCCCGUAGGUACGAGCCUACUAAUAAGAGCAAUGAUUCAGCAUCUCAUGUGCAAAAUAAACAAUAUGGGAAACAGCCUGAGAAAGUUUCGCAUGGUGGUUCAGGGAAAACUUUCACUCCUGUCUCUAAUUCAGAACCCGAUCCUGUACCUUCUAAGAAACAGGUCUUUGCAUCAAAUUUGAAUUAUGCUUCACCCCCUUUUUACCCUUCGAGUUCUUCCAACAAAGAUACAAGUGUGACAUCAAAAGGGGAUAUCCCAACUGCUGCUUCAAGUAGGAACGUUCGGCCUGGUGUUGUCGAUGAGGGUUUUUUGGUUCAACAGAACAACGUACUUCUCCGGGGAAAGAAUGUUGUCGAUCAUGUCAGCAUGGAGAAGUUGUAUAUUGAUGGGCCUGGCGCUCCAUCUGUUGGGAAAGCUUUUAACAAUUUGCAUAUGCCGCCACCUGGAUCUUCUGGUGUUAAUGGAUCUCAAUCUACUCAUCCAAGAGGUACUGGAAGGGGUGGAGCAGUACCAGUUCAGAUGAAUUAUCAGCCUGCUGCAUCUCAUAAUCAAGCUGGUAAAAUUGAUCCAACUCAACUCCAGGCUAUUCAGAGAACUGCUCCAGGGCGAACUUCUCCUUCUGUGCAAGCCCCUGCUCCACAGUUGGGUCAUCGACCUGGUAGUGGGUCUCAGGCUUCAUCUCCCCCGAUCACAACCGCUGCAAUUGGUUCAUUGGAUUCUGGAGAAAUUGAGUCAGCUUCGGAAUCAGGUAAAUUGAAGGGUGCAUUGGUUGGGAAGGGAAGGGAGGCUUCCCAGGGUAGCGGAAGGGGUUCUUUUGUUUAUGGUGGAACUAUGGGUCCUGCUGGAAAUAUCAAUGGUAAUCAUGGAGAUCAGAACUUUCCAACCUUUUUGCCAGUUAUGCAAUUUGGUGGGCAGCAUCCUGGUGGCUUAGGAGUUCCUGCGGUUGGCAUGGCAUUCCCUGGAUAUGUUGCUCAGCCUCAACUUGGUUUGGGAAACUCUGAAAUGACAUGGCUACCGGUUUUGACUGGAGCAGCAGGAGCUUUAGGGGCUGCUGGAGCUUUAGGGGCGGCAGGUGCUUUAGGGGCAGCAGGUGCUUUAGGGGCUACAUACUGUCCACCCUAUCUCACUGUUGACGGUGCUUAUCAUGCACGACAAUCAGGGCAGACAUCUGCAACAGCUACUUCAAGCAAGGAAAAUAAUGUGAAUAAAGGUAGCAAUGACUGGAAGGCACCACCAAAGUCUGAGACUGUAAAUGAUGAGUUUGGACAGCGGCAUAAUAAGCCCCGCAGAUACUCGGAGAUGAACUUUGGGCAGUGAAGUAAUAUAGAAUGCAACUUGUUUGAAUAAGAAGUAUCACAGGCCUUCUUCCUACUGGUCCUUUGUCCUCCAGCUUUUGUUCUGGAGUACUUUGGGCAGCGAUAUGUUUCAAGAAUUUUUAGUAUAUAACCGCCUGUUCACGCUGUUGUCCAUUUAAAGAAGGUUAAUUGCAGCUUGACAGGUGGUAGUUGCUUGUGUAAUUGUGCGAUUUUUCUUGCGUUUUGCUUUCGUUAAGCUCGUGAGAAACAUAUGCAGGCUUUUCUACAACUAUAGAUGUGGGGAAAGAACGACGAUUGUUUUGCAGCAACUGAUUUGAUCGUGGAGUUAAGAAUUUCUCGUGUAAAUGGUUUUCUUAUUCCUAUGGUAUUUGACUUGUGGUAAAUUAUCAUGAGCCGUUAAUAGUGUAAUCCUUUAUAUUUUUCCACAUUCAACCAAGUGUUUUUUGACUGCGUGCUA